UAGAGUUUCUUUUAGGUUACUUCCUUCAAACGUGAAUUAUUAACAUUUUAUUUAACAACUUUAGGGCUCCAUUUAAACAUAUCCAACCAUUUAUCAAACUUUUUGCCCUUUUCUUUCUUUUUCUUGGGAGGGGGUUUAUUUUUGAGGUCUCGUGGUAGAGGUUUAUUUUUCACUUUUGGAAAUGCCUCGUAUGUUAGUCCUUCAGAUCGGAGGGUAGGAUUUUCAUCUGACAAUCUGUCAUAGGCAUUAGCUUCUCUGUUUUCACCUUCCUUCUUUGUGAAUUUUCUCUCUUUGACAUCUUGAUCAGUAAUGUUAAGACUAAAACAAGAGUCUUUAAGGGAAGGAUUUUUCAUUUGUUUGGCUAAAACAAACCCAAUCUUCGCAUCCCAUACUUUAAAGGUGAGCUUCCAUUUUUUUACAUUUAUAAUAUCACCAAUUGUAGCUAGGAAGUGUCUACCUUUCAACUCUUAACCAAUUUUCAGAAUCACAUCAAGAAAGUGAUGAACCCUAACCUCUAAAACAAAAAUUAAACGAUAGAGGAGAAGAAUCAAGUCAUUAAACCUCGGGGCUUUGAUUCUCCAUUGCAAGAGCUACAUUUUGGUACACGAUUCAAGCAAGACAGAGGUUUGUCCUGGAAAUUGUUGAAGAUGAUGAAUGUGCAGAGAAAAACCAGAAAACCUUUAAUCUGCAGUAGCAAAAGGUGUACUAAUGCCGUCUGGAGGUCUUAGCCCAAUUGAUGGCAAGCUUCAAGGUGAAGCUUACUCAAACAGUGGUGGUAAAGCUUUGGUGAGGUGAAAUAGAUGAAUUGAGAGAGUAGAAAUUCGGAGUUUGAGUGAUGAAUGAAUGAUUAUUAUGAUUAUUUUUGAAGAUUGAAGAGUGUGGUGAGUUUAUAUAGAUGUAUUGUUCUAACCUUCAGGCACUUUUCCAGGAAAUGAUGGUUAGAAGUUAUGGCAGCAGUUAGUGUUAGAUGAUUUCAUGAGUAAGUUGGUUAUGAAGUUAACAAAGUUAUUUAGCUGUUAAAUUAUUAUUUCGAAUUAUUAUUGAAGUGAUAUUUAAGGGUUGUUAUGACAGGUUGGUGAGGCUAGGAUUAAAGUGAGUUAGUGUAGUUCAAGUAUUGGUGAAUGUUAGUGUAGGAAUGCUACUAUUUAUUGUUGCAUAAUGUGUAGGAAUUGGAACUGGUAUGAAACAUUGGAAUUGGGACUCUGAUGCAUUAUGCAGGCUAAAAUUGCAAAAAAAUAACAGAUGUAACUGGUUACCAUGUUUUGAGUACCAAAACGAAAACAUGUGUUCUGAUGUGUUAAAUGAGACUGAACAAAGCAAGUGUAACCAGUUACCAUGUUUUGAGUAACCGAUUACCAGCACGAAAAAUGGUUUACUGGUGUGCUGAGUGCAGGUGUAACUAGUUACCAUGUUUUGAGUAACCGGUUACCAAAACACAAAUUUGGUUUUCUGCAGAUGCUGAUAUAGGUGUAAUCGGUUACCUGUUAUUGGGUAACCGGUUACCAACACAAAAGUUGGUUUUUCUCAUGUGUUUGGGGAAAUGGAUUAUGUUACAUGUUUUCCAUUAAGCAUUAUCCAUGAAGAUCCGGCAAGACAUGUGGAUUUGACAACGCAUGUGGACUUGGAAAGGCAUGGAUCCAGGCUCUUGAAGAUGUUUUGAAGGCUUGAAGGUUUAGAAGCACAAGAAGUGAAGUGUCUUGAAGAUGAAUAAUAAAAUAGACCAGGGUUUAGGAUAGUUGGCUUGGGUCAACUGUUUGACCAAAAAGUCAAUAAUUGACCAAAAGUCAAUUGUAGGUCAAAAGAUGAAAUUUUGUAUGUAAACUUGCAAUUUGGAUCUUUUUGGAAUGAAAUGGAUUUUCUUGAAA